CAAUAGCAUAUAUUAAAGUUGUUGCGGUAAAAAAGCUCGUAGUUGGAUUUCUACCGAAGAUAGCCGGUCGGGUCUUCGACCUUGUAUCUGGUUUUGUCUUUGGUAUCCUCAUAGGGAACGUUUCUGCGCUUUAUUGCGUGGUGCGGUAUCUAUGACUUUUACUUUGAGGAAAUUAGAGUGUUCACGGCAGGCAAACGCCUUGAAUAUAUUAGCAUGGAAUAAUAACAUAGGAUCUUCGUCCUAUUUUGUUGGUUUCUAGGGCUAAGAUAAUGAUUAAUAGGGAUAAUUGGGGGCAUCUGUAUCAACGCGUCAGAGGUGGAAUUCUUGGAUUGCGUUGCGACAAACUACUGCGAAAGCAUUUGCCAAGGAUGUUUUCAUUGA
rnacentral:rRNA from 1 species